rnacentral:rRNA from 1 species
UAACACUGAGAAAUUGGUACUAAUACCCCAUAAUAUCUCAUGCGGCAUCGCAUGGGGUUGAAAACUCCGGUGGUUGAUGAUGGGCAUGCGUUGUAUUAGCUGGUUGGUGAGGUAACGGCUCACCAAGGCGACGAUACAUAGGGGGACUGAGAGGUUAACCCCCCACAUUGGUACUGAGACACGGACCAAACUCCUACGGGAGGCAGCAGUGAGGAAUAUUGGUCAAUGGACGCAAGUCUGAACCAGCCAUGCCGCGUGCAGGAUGACGGCUCUAUGAGUUGUAAACUGCUUUUGUACGAGGGUAAACCCCGAUACGUGUAUCGGGUUGAAAGUAUCGUACGAAUAAGGAUCGGCUAACUCCGUGCCAGCAGCCGCGGUAAUACGUAGGGGGCAAGCGUUAUCCGGAUUUACUGGGUGUAAAGGGAGCGUAGACGGUGAAGCAAGUCUGAAGUGAAAGGCGGGGGCUCAACCCCCGGACUGCUUUGGAAACUGUUUGACUGGAGUGCAGGAGAGGUAAGUGGAAUUCCUAGUGUAGCGGUGAAAUGCGUAGAUAUUAGGAGGAACACCAGUGGCGAAGGCGGCUUAC